CCUACGGGUGGCAGCAGUCGAGAAUCAUUCACAAUGGGGGAAACCCUGAUGGUGCGACGCCGCGUGGGGGAAUGAAGGUCUUCGGAUUGUAAACCCCUGUCAUGUGGGAGCAAAUUAAAAAGAUAGUACCACAAGAGGAAGAGACGGCUAACUCUGUGCCAGCAGCCGCGGUAAUACAGAGGUCUCAAGCGUUGUUCGGAUUCACUGGGCGUAAGGCGUGCGUAGGCUGUUUCGUAAGUCGUGUGUGAAAGGCGCGGGCUCAACCCGCGGACGGCACAUGAUACUGCGAGACUAGAGUAAUGGAGGGGGAACCGGAAUUCUCGGUGUAGCAGUGAAACGCGUAGAUACCGAGAGGAACACUCGUGGCGAAGGCGGGUUCCUGGACAUUAACUGACGCUGAGGCACGAAGGCCAGGGGAGCGAAAGGGAUUAGAUACCCCAGUAGUC
rnacentral:rRNA from 1 species